GACGAACGCUGGCGGCGUGCUUAACACAUGCAAGUCGAACGGAAAGGCCCUGCUUUUGUGGGGUGCUCGAGUGGCGAACGGGUGAGUAACACGUGAGUAACCUGCCCUUGACUUUGGGAUAACUUCAGGGAACUGGGGCUAAUACCGGAUAGGAGCUCCUGCUGCAUGGUGGGGGUUGGAAAGUUUCGGCGGUUGGGGAUGGACUCGCGGCUUAUCAGCUUGUUGGUGGGGUAGUGGCCUACCAAGGCUUUGACGGGUAGCCGGCCUGAGAGGGUGACCGGCCACAUUGGGACUGAGAUACGGCCCAGACUCCUACGGGAGGCAGCAGUGGGGAAUAUUGCACAAUGGGCGGAAGCCUGAUGCAGCAACGCCGCGUGCGGGAUGACGGCCUUCGGGUUGUAAACCGCUUUCGCCUGUGACGAAGCGUGAGUGACGGUAAUGGGUAAAGAAGCACCGGCUAACUACGUG
rnacentral:rRNA from 1 species